rnacentral:rRNA from 1 species
GACGAACGCUGGCGGCAGGCCUAACACAUGCAAGUCGAACGCCCGUAGCAAUACGGGAGUGGCAGACGGGUGAGUAACGCGUGGGAACGUGCCCUUCGGUUCGGAAUAACUCAGGGAAACUUGAGCUAAUACCGGAUACGUCCGUAAGGAGAAAGAUUUAUCGCCGAAGGAUCGGCCCGCGUCGGAUUAGCUAGUUGGUGAGGUAACGGCCCACCAAGGCGACGAUCCGUAGCUGGUCUGAGAGGANGAUCAGCCACACUGGGACUGAGACACGGCCCAGACUCCUACGGGAGGCAGCAGUGGGGAAGUAUUGGACAAUGGGCGGAAAGCCUGAUCCAGCCAUGCCGCGUGAGUGAAGAAGGCCUUAGGG